ensembl:lncRNA
GUACAGGAUGUCAGAAGGUCAUCUCCAAGACCACUGGACACUAGUUUCUGAGGACCAUCUACAAUGGAGGAAGUGCAUCACGGAUUAAGAAGCUGAAGAUUCAGUUCUUCUGUUACUUCCCUUGUUACAGGGAAAGCUUUCAAAACACAGACACUUCUGUUCCUUUGGGCACAGGCAAAAGGCAAUUAAAUCGGCCAAGCUAAAUUGAAAACAGGUGAUGGUGAAGGGCACGGCGGGCUUGAAUCAAGGCUGGUGGCUGUGUGGAUGUACACAGAGGUGAUAUCACCAAAGGCUGACUGUCCUCGCCCUGGCUGCUGUCACUGCCCCACAGCCGGAGCUCUACAAUGACUGUGGCAGAGAACUCUCACUGGACUAGGAGUCCAGGGCACACUGGCCUCACCAGGGCUCCAGCUGCGGAUCCCAUCAUCCCCCGCAGGACGUCAGGUGAUGAGGGUGACAGAGCUGGGGCUGAGGUGUCCGCAGAGAACUUGGAUACUCAAGAGGCAGGCGUGAGUGGCUGGUGAGGUUCACCAGGGGAGGUUUGGAGGCCUACAACAACGGGAAUGUUUCGGCAGCCUCAGGGUAGCUGUCACCAGGCCCUGCCCUUGGCUGGUGCCCCUUCUGGAGGAUGCAUGAGUCUGAGAAGUCUGAAGUUCUUAUCUCCUCACUGUCCUCGUCAUGAACACACUGAGGCCGCUGUCCAUCCUCAGAAGGUGGUGUGCUGACAAAGUAUUCGGUGCCCAGGCGGAGCACAGGGUCUGGACGUUCAGCCCUGGUUAUGGCUUGGCCAUGGUGGGCAUGUCUGACGUGGGGACAGCCAGUCCACCAAGCCCAGCACCUCCACACCCGCACGCCAAGCGCUUGAGCGGCUCGUCCAGCUGCUAAUGGUUGCACAACAGCAUAGCCACUGCGCAUGCGGGUUGACGUCAGGCUCUUCACACGCGGCAGCACCUGCAAGUCCCCAUGCACGUCCUAGUGCUGAGAGCAUCCCGCACCCCGGCGUACCGCGACAUCUGCAGGAAGCUCCAAGGCCAGUGCGGAAUGCAGGUGUGAGAGCGGCCUGGGCUGGGAGACUCUGCAGAGACAUUUCCCAAAGGUAUAUAUUAAAAUACAGAAAUGAGAAGUUUACAGCCACAAACACAUGCAGAACUCAAGAUAAGUUCAUGUGAAAGGAAUUAAUGGCAGCGUAACCAGAGUGGUAAUGUUAAAUAUUUCUGCAAUGUGAGAGGCAGCACAUUGUUAUCACGGGGGCACAGACUUGGAGCAAGACUACCUGAGUCAAAACUAGGCUGCACUCACCAUCUGCAUGCCUGUGGGCAAGUUGGUGCCUCUCUAUCAAUGUGGGACAUUACCAUAAUAUACUUAAUAUACUACUGACUUAAAGCAUUAACAUAACUUUCCAAGGGACCUAUUUUAUUAAUA